GGAGCAGGCCGGACGGCCGCGGGCUGGUUAAACCCGGCCCGAGGAAAGUCCGAACUCCAGAGGGCAGAGCGCCGGAUAACAUCCGGGAGGGGUGACCCUACGGAAAGUGCCACAGAAAAGAAAAGACCUCGCCGCGGCACAGCGGACGGGGUUAAGCUGAAACGGUGGUGUAAGAGACCACCGGCAGUCCGGUAACGGGCUGGCCUGGCAAACCCCGCUCGGAGCAAGACCUAGUAGGGAGGCAUAUGGAGUGGCCCGCUCCGCCUCCGGGUAGGUCGCAUCAGGCGGCAGGAAACUGCCGACCGCAGACAAAUGGCCGUCAGGGAGGGUGAAACAGUUUCGGCCCACCCUCCGUCACAGAAUUCGGCUUACAGGCCUGCUCUGGCC
rnacentral:RNase_P_RNA from 1 species